rnacentral:rRNA from 1 species
GAUGAACGCUGGCGGCGUGCCUAAUACAUGCAAGUCGAGCGAACAGACGAGGAGCUUGCUCCUCUGACGUUAGCGGCGGACGGGCGAGUAACACGUGGAUCACAUACUUCUAUUACUGGGAUAACUUCGGGAAACCGGUGCUAAUACCGGAUAAUAUAUUGAACCGCAUGGUUCAAUAGUGAAAGACGGUUUUGCUGUCACUUAUAGACGGAUCCGCGCCGCAUUAGCUAGUUGGUAAGGUAACGGCUUACCAAGGCAACGAUGCGUAGCCGACCUGAGAGGGUGAUCGGCCACACUGGAACUGAGACACGGUCCAGACUCCUACGGGAGGCAGCAGUAGGGAAUCUUGCGCAAUGGGCGAAAGCCUGACGGAGCAACGCCGCGUGAGUGAUGAAGGUCUUCGGAUCGUAAAACUCUGUUAUUGGGGAAGAACAGAUGUGUAAGUAACUAUGCACGUCUUGACGGUACCUAAUCAGAAAGCCACGGCUAACUACGUG